GGUUUUGCAACCUGUCCAUUAUUGCCUGAUGAGAUAGCAAAUGUCCGAGAACGGUUGCUCGACUUCUUCAUGAAUGAGGUGAUAGACAUUGGUGGAUCAUGCAGGGUUGAGGGUGCUUCAUAUAACUAAAUCUAGCAUGGCUUCCUAGGAAAAUAUGGAAUGGCCGCACCAGUGUGGAGACUUGAUUUCAUAUAUAUUUAGUUAGGCACAACGAUAGCGCAAACAAUUGAUUACCAAGUUUGUCAAUUAGUAUUUUAGUUUGGAUAUAGAGUACGCUUAUGCAUGAGCUAUUUGACAAUGUUUAUUUAUGAGAUAUAUAAUGGUAAUUAUGAAUGAUAUCAUCCUACUUUCAUAUAUUUGAUGGACAUCACAUAUGCAUCUAGAUUUUUCUCCAAGUUUCAGCAUGUAGUACAUAGGGCUAGGUGUCGAUCCAGAUUGUGGCGCUCGACGAGGUGGGGGCGUGGAGAGUGGCAGGGAAUCCUCAUCGUUGUACUGACGGUACGAUAUACAACAGGUAUGUACUGUCUUUGAUUGUGCUUUCCAGAUCUUAAGCUGACAGAGGCCGGUAUCAAAAGAAAAUGUAAGUGAAAAGGAAGACUCUGAGAUUGUUCGUUCGCCUAGAGUUCCAACACGUUCUAUCAAGAAGCCGAUUGGUGCUAAAAAUCCUGGAAAUAAGACUGUCGGACUUGGUGCACGGAAGCUUACAUCAAAGCCAAAUGAAAGCCUGUAUGAGCAGAAGCCCGAAGAAACAGCUCCUGUCCUACCAUCAUCGGUGAUUGCAAGUACUACAGCUAGGAGCAAACCCCAUACUUCCCGAUUUGAAUAUGUAGAAAAUGCACCUGCUCCUAAGACUGGGAGCAGCUCAGAAGGCAAUCUCAUGAGUGGACAUGUUGCACCCCCAAAGUCAUCGAACUUCUUUGUUGAAUUUGGGAUGGACAGUGGAUAUCACAAAAAAAAUAUACAUCCAGUUCAUCCAAAGUGCAGGUAACUGUUUUAUUCAGACAUAUAUGAUUAAUCAUCAUUCAUCAAUAUGUGAACUCCAUUGAGCAAGUAUAUUGUAAAGUCAGAACUAAAAAGAGGAACAUUUGGUUCCACCAUUUCACCUUAUUUUGUACUAAGGGGAAGUAUUUAGAGAUUGAAUUGA